GCGAGAGUGGCGAAAUUGGCAGACGCGCUGGAUUUAGGAUCCAGUGGGGAGACCCUUGGGGGUUCAAAUCCCCCCUUUCGCA
rnacentral:tRNA from 1 species